rnacentral:rRNA from 1 species
AGAGUUUGAUCCUGGCUCAGAUUGAACGCUGGCGGCAGGCCUAACACAUGCAAGUCGAGCGGAAACGAGUUAUCUGAACCUUCGGGGAACGAUAACGGCGUCGAGCGGCGGACGGGUGAGUAAUGCCUAGGAAAUUGCCCUGAUGUGGGGGAUAACCAUUGGAAACGAUGGCUAAUACCGCAUGAUGCCUACGGGCCAAAGAGGGGGACCUUCGGGCCUCUCGCGUCAGGAUAUGCCUAGGUGGGAUUAGCUAGUUGGUGAGGUAAGGGCUCACCAAGGCGACGAUCCCUAGCUGGUCUGAGAGGAUGAUCAGCCACACUGGAACUGAGACACGGUCCAGACUCCUACGGGAGGCAGCAGUGGGGAAUAUUGCACAAUGGGCGCAAGCCUGAUGCAGCCAUGCCGCGUGUAUGAAGAAGGCCUUCGGGUUGUAAAGUACUUUCAGUCGUGAGGAAGGUGGUAGUGUUAAUAGCACUAUCAUUUGACGUUAGCGACAGAAGAAGCACCGGCUAACUCCGUGCCAGCAGCCGCGGUAAUACGGAGGGUGCGAGCGUUAAUCGGAAUUACUGGGCGUAAAGCGCAUGCAGGUGGUUUGUUAAGUCAGAUGUGAAAGCCCGGGGCUCAACCUCGGAAUAGCAUUUGAAACUGGCAGACUAGAGUACUGUAGAGGGGGGUAGAAUUUCAGGUGUAGCGGUGAAAUGCGUAGAGAUCU